GAUGAACGCUGGCGGCGUGCCUAAUACAUGCAAGUCGAGCGAACAGACGAGGAGCUUGCUCCUCUGACGUUAGCGGCGGACGGGUGAGUAACACGUGGAUAACCUACCUAUAAGACUGGGAUAACUUCGGGAAACCGGAGCUAAUACCGGAUAAUAUAUUGAACCGCAUGGUUCAAUAGUGAAAGUCGGUUUUGCUGUCACUUAUAGAUGGAUCCGCGCCGCAUUAGCUAGUUGGUAAGGUAACGGCUUACCAAGGCAACGAUGCGUAGCCGACCUGAGAGGCUGAUCGGCCACACUGGAACUGAGACACGGUCCAGACUCCUGCGGGAGGCAGCAGUAGGGAAUCUUCCGCAAUGGGCGAAAGCAUGACGGAGCAACGCCGCGUGAGUGAUGAAGGUCUUCGGAUCGUAAAACUCUGUUAUUAGGGAAGAACAAAUGUGUAAGUAACUAUGCACGUCUUGACGGUACCUAAUCAGAAAGCCACGGCUAACUACGUG
rnacentral:rRNA from 1 species